UACGUAGGGCGCAAGCGUUGUCCGGAAUUAUUGGGCGUAAAGAGCUCGUAGGCGGUUUGUCGCGUCUGCUGUGAAAACCUAAAGGCUCAACCUUGGGCUUGCAGUGGGUACGGGCAGACUAGAGUGCGGUAGGGGUGACUGGAAUUCCUGGUGUAGCGGUGGAAUGCGCAGAUAUCAGGAGGAACACCGAUGGCGAAGGCAGG
rnacentral:rRNA from 1 species